UGGCUGCCUCUUCAGGCCCCUCAAGUCUGAGGAGCGAGGGGAGGAGCACCUCACUCCUUACUCCCUGACCGCCGAGUGGGCGAGCCGUCUUGGAAGUGGACAGGGACCAUUGUGGACGUGGCGCCUCCAGCCCUCGUGGCGCCUUUGGAAGACUGAGUCCCUCUGACGUCUUGACUGGAGCCUCGCAAGAGGCCCUGAGCCAGAAUGGCCACCUUGGCCGCUCCUGAAUUGCUGUCCCUUGGAAGCUGUGUGAGAUAAUAAAUGCUUAUUGUUGUUUUAGCUACCGAGUUUUGUGGGAAUUUGUUAUGCAACGACAGAGAAAAUGUUCGAAGAGCACAGUGGCCGAGUGAACAGAGAGGGAGCACAGCCCAGGCCUUUGCUGAACACAGUCUCGUUGAAUCCUCCCAGUGCUGCAAAGACAGGACUCAGUGCCAAUUCACAGAGGAGGAAAUGGAGGCUCAGAGAAUUAAUCAUCCACCUGAGCUCACACAACAGGUGAGUGGCAGGGUUAGGACCGGGGGCCAGGUGGCCAGACUUUGGAGCCCAAGCUCCUCUGCAUGA
rnacentral:lncRNA from 1 species